CUACUACUCCCUCCGUCCGAAAAUACUUGUCAUUGGAAUGGAUGUAUCUAGAUGUAUUUUAGUUCUAGACACAUCCAUUUUGAUGAAAAGUAAUUCCGGACGGAGGGAGUAUUAU
rnacentral:pre_miRNA from 1 species